ACGCACAGCGAAAGGUGCUUGCACCUUUCAAGUGAGUGGCGAACGGGUGAGUAACACGUGGACAACCUGCCUCAAGGCUGGGGAUAACAUUUGGAAACAGAUGCUAAUACCGAAUAAAACUUAGUGUCGCAUGACAAAAAGUUAAAAGGCGCUUCGGCGUCACCUAGAGAUGGAUCCGCGGUGCAUUAGUUAGUUGGUGGGGUAAAGGCCUACCAAGACAAUGAUGCAUAGCCGAGUUGAGAGACUGAUCGGCCACAUUGGGACUGAGACACGGCCCAAACUCCUACGGGAGGCUGCAGUAGGGAAUCUUCCACAAUGGGCGAAAGCCUGAUGGAGCAACGCCGCGUGUGUGAUGAAGGCUUUCGGGUCGUAAAGCACUGUUGUAUGGGAAGAACAGCUAGAAUAGGAAAUGAUUUUAGUUUGACGGUACCAUACCAGAAAGGGACGGCUAAAUACGUGCCAGCAGCCGCGGUAAUACGUAUGUCCCGAGCGUUAUCCGGAUUUAUUGGGCGUAAAGCGAGCGCAGACGGUUUAUUAAGUCUGAUGUGAAAGCCCGGAGCUCAACUCCGGAAUGGCAUUGGAAACUGGUUAACUUGAGUGCAGUAGAGGUAAGUGGAACUCCAUGUGUAGCGGUGGAAUGCGUAGAUAUAUGGAAGAACACCA
rnacentral:rRNA from 1 species